CGUGGGGCGAUGGGUGCUCUUCCCUUCACAGCCCUGGGCCCUUGUGGCCCUGCACGCUGGGAUGUGGGACACAGGGGACUGAGCCAGCGCGCACCCCUGAGCUGCAGGGAGAAGAGGGUCCGCUGGGGCAGGAUCAGAGAGAAGCAGCCCCUCCCACCCCUGUCUCCUGUCCCCGGUGCUUCUUUUUAGGGUGGGGCUUCCUCAGCCAGACAUCAUACGCCAGACUCUGGGAGGAGCUGUGGGGUCCCGGCGCCUCCUGGGGGCUCCAGCCCAGGGUGGACUGACCCAGGGCAGCCAGGCGCGGACUCCGUGGCCCAAGAGCAUCUCGGCCAAGGCACAGGGAUCAGCUCAGGGGAAGCCGCUGCUCUACCUCCCUCUGGGACCCUGCAGUCCCCAAGUGCUGGCCUCUGAAUGCCUGGCCCAGGACAGGCCAGGACUGCCUGGAGAAGGGGUCAAGUCAACAGAGAUGGACUUCUAGGCAGAACGGACACCCACUCAAAGGUCUGUGCCCAGGGCAGCCUCAGAGACUCCACUUGUACUCAUCAGGACUAUAGGGACCAUCACCAAGGGUACUGUCCCCUGCUCCAGGCGGGGAAGGCCUGCUGCCCCCAGGCUGGGCUGGGCUGUCCCGGGUGGAAGACAUGAUUCGCUGAGGUCAGUUAGGAAGAGUGAGGUACAAGGACGGCCAGGGACCUGCCAGUGUCCCCUGGCUCCUGAGGCCAUCCGUCAGGAGGACCCAACCUUCCUCCCACCAGGCUGGGGGCUCGGUGUCGCCACACUCUCGGCUGCUGCCCCUUGUGGUUCCUGCUCAGGUCCCUCCCUGACUUCACACCAGCAGGCCCUGCCAGGGGCCCAGGGCCGGGGUCUGGGUCCUAAGGGGGGGCACCACUUUUGCCAUCAAUCCUCAUCUCCUGCCACCACUGUUCCCUCUCAGUCUCCCCAAGGCCCCGUCGACCACCCCUCCAGCCAGAUGGGGCCUCUGGGGACACAGAGCCUGUCCUCAAGUUGGGCUCCCCACUCCCACCUGCACCUGGGCCCAUUGAUCAGGAAUGGCUGGAGGCUCUUGGCUGGGGGAGGGAGGGAGCCAGGGAGGAGGACUGGGAGGGAGGGGGCUUCGUGACGUCAGAGCCUUCCCACUGCCCCCUCCUGCAUGCACCCGCCCCUGGAGCUGGACCAGCCCCGCCAGUGGCCCAGCCUCAGACACUGCAGUCGGAGGGUGGCCUGGAGAGGGACCCUGCAGACCCCCGAGCCAGGGUCUCACCUGCAGAGACCAGGUGCACAGCAGCAGGGGAGAACCUCACCAGGAGACGAGGACAGACUGCACCGAGGACCGUGUGUGCCCAAGCCGAGCUGCAGUGCUGGGCAGACAAGCAGACCUGGGGCAGCGGG
rnacentral:lncRNA from 1 species